rnacentral:rRNA from 1 species
GAUGAACGCUGGCGGCGUGCUUAACACAUGCAAGUCGAACGGAAAGGCCCAAGCUUGCUUGGGUACUCGAGUGGCGAACGGGUGAGUAACACGUGGGUGAUCUGCCCUGCACUUCGGGAUAAGCCUGGGAAACUGGGUCUAAUACCGGAUAGGACGAUGGUUUGGAUGCCAUUGUGGAAAGUUUUUUCGGUGUGGGAUGAGCUCGCGGCCUAUCAGCUUGUUGGUGGGGUAAUGGCCUACCAAGGCGUCGACGGGUAGCCGGCCUGAGAGGGUGUACGGCCACAUUGGGACUGAGAUACGGCCCAGACUAGUACGGGAGGCAGCAGUGGGGAAUAUUGGACAAUGGGAGCAAGCCUGAUGGAGAGAGGCCGCGUGGGGGAUGACGGCCUUCGGGUUGUAAACUCCUUUAGCUAGGGAAGAAGCGUUUUUGUGACGGUACCUGGAGAAGAAGCACCGGCUAACUACGUG